ACCGGGCCUUCCCCACCACCUCAUCUGCUUGAGAACGUAAAGGGUUCUGUGGGGCCGCUGCAGCUUUCGUGCCCAUCUGUCUCCAGAGCUUCCCAUCUCUGGAAUGCGGGAGGGAACAGAGCUCUAGCCUGAAUAACUGAGCCCGGCCCGGCAGUUCCCGAGAUUCACCAGAGAAUAAGCCUGAUGGGAAGUCUGGAGAUAACAGGACACCGAACCAGUAGGUCCUCCUGAUUCUCAGGCCUUCAGACACAGACUGGAAUCUACAGCAUUGGUUCUCGGGCUAUCCAACCUUCAGCCUACAUGACCAGCUUUCCUGGGUCUCCAGUUUGCAAUCAACCUACCCUGGAACUUUUCAGCCUCCAUAAUCGCCUGAGCCAAUACUUUAGAAUAAAUAUGUAUCUUUUUCUUGGUGCUGUUUCUCCAGAGAACCCUAACUAGCAUAGGCACCAAACACCCAUUUUAAUAAUCCACUUGUCUUCAGAUCACAGCAAUAUCUACUCAAGAGAUACAGACGCCAUUGAUUUCUGGCCACAGGAGGGCAGAAGAGUCAAUAGGUAUUCUUUGGCCUUCCUCCCAGGAGAGGGAGGUGCCAAAGAAAUUCAGAGUGAUCUGUAUGGCCCUAUCUGAUGUUUGGAAUCAUUUCUUUCU